AGUGAUUCUUAAGUGAGCGGGAAAAGCAUCUCCCUAGUCCUGUAUCUUAUGCUUCUUUGACACAGCCUUAGAUGGAGUAUACUAUAGAAGGAGGUGAUGACUGAUGAAUCCAGCAAGCAAAAUACGAACCUGGAAUGGAGAUUUGGCAUCCUACUAAGGAAAAAUGUCAACCAUCCAGCACCUGGAAGUGAAAGCGUGGGACCACAUGGAACUCUGACUCCAAAGCCAUAGAAGGCCCUUGCUGCUUUUCAUGUUCACAACACACAGAGAAUCAUAGAGAAUCUUAGAGUUAAAUGAAACUUCAGAGUCCCUUUACUCCAAUCCAUACUGGUAUAAGAAUCUCUUCUAUAACAUCUCCGAUGAACAGCAUCCUAUUUGCUAUUCUAUUUUUUUUAAUCUCUAUAGGGUUUUUGCUCUGUCUUAUGUGACAGUGGGAUCAAGUUGAUUUGUAAGGUGGGGGUUGAGUAGGUAAAUGGGUUAGAAGCAAACUCAGAAGGGUCAAAGUUUAGGCAGGAUUGUCAUAAAGAUACUGAAGGAUGGAUGCAUUGUAGAAGUUGUACCAGUGCUGGAGGCAUUAACAUUUAGAUGGUGUACUAGCAGGAGGAUCAGGAACUAAAGUUUGGAAGGUCUAAGAGAGAGAGGGGACUGAUAAAAAGAAGCACUACUUCCUCUCUUAGGUAAAGCUACACAAGGGAAUAGGGGAGAUUUGAUCAAGGUCCAGAGCUGAGAGGCAAGGAGGAACUCCUCUUCAGUCUCUGGUUUUCUGGCUUCUUCCCUUGACAGAUAUUAUCCUGAU